GAGGCGGCCCUGGCGAUUGCUGUGAGAUCUCGGUGCCGCCGUUCCUGACUCGAGCCUCUGAGGCCAGUGAUAAGGAGCAAUUAGGGUUCAUUUUAACGUUGGGAAAAUUGUGCUGACUGCUGAAACGCUCUUACCUAUGUUGUGUGGAUUGAAUCUGACGAAAUGGAUAGUAUUCCCGUUUUACAACAAUAAUACUUUGAAACAAAAUAUAUAAGUGGAAUAAAGACAUCUCUGUUGCCUUGUCAAAUCCGAAAACUACAAAAAUCAGUGAAGAUUACAGAAACAAAUACCAACUUAACCAAACCAGUACCUAUGAACGUGACAUUAUUUGGAAAGAGUCUGCAGAUGAUCAAGUCACUGUUAUUGAGACCUCUUAUCCAGUAUGACCGUGUCCUCAUAAAAACAGAGAUCUGAAAACACACACUGAGGAGAACACCACGGGAAGAUAAAGGAAGAAACUGAAGUGAUGGAUCUACAUCUACAAGCCAAGAAAUGUCAAAGGUUGCCAGCAAACCAGCAGAGGCAGAGAGAGUCCUGCAACACAUUCUCCCGCACAGCCCUCCAAAGGAACUAGCUCUGCCGACACUCUGAUCGGGGACUUCCAGGCUUCCAAAUUACAAGACAAUAAAUUUAUAAUGUUUUAAGCCAGCAGUUUAUAGUGCUUUGUUAUGCAGCCCUAUCAAACUAACACAGUAUUUCACAAUACAAUAUUAAUUUUUUAAAAACCUAACAAAUGUACUUAUUUUUUAUACUGAAGAGAGAUACUCAGCAUGUGUAAAUAACAGAUAUAAAACUCACAAAAAAUUAUUUUUGGGAAAUAUCAUUUAUAUUUAACAUAGUAACUUUUUGAAAAUUGAUUUUUUACCAGUUAACUUUGGCAGGUUUUAGUAGAACAAGGGAUUCUGUAUACAUUUGCUCAGUCUUUCAGGUUUCCUUGUGUUACAGCCAUUCAUUAAGCUGAUUGUGUUCUAUACUCACAACUUUAGGAUGAGAACAAAACACAGUAACAUUUAAACAGCAACUUAAAACAUAAAAAUACUAGA